rnacentral:rRNA from 1 species
UACGAAGGGGGCUAGCGUUGCUCGGAAUCACUGGGCGUAAAGGGUGCGUAGGCGGGUCUUUAAGUCAGGGGUGAAAUCCUGGAGCUCAACUCCAGAACUGCCUCUGAUACUGAAGAUCUUGAGUUCGGGAGAGGUGAGUGGAACUGCGAGUGUAGAGGUGAAAAUUCGUAGAUAUUCGCAAGAACACCAGUGGCGAAGGCGGCUCACUGGCCCGAUACUGACGCUGAGGCACGAAAGCGUGGGGAGCAAACAGG